UGUAGGUGGUUAGCAUACUUGCCUUUCACGCAGGAUACCAGGGUUCGAGUCCCUAUAU
rnacentral:tRNA from 1 species